UGAGGAAUAUUGGUCAAUGGGCGCAAGCCUGAACCAGCCAUGCCGCGUGCAGGAUGAAGCCUCUAUGGUGUGUAAACUGCUUUUGUACGGGAAGAAACACCUCUACGUGUAGAGGCUUGACGGUACCGUAAGAAUAAGGAUCGGCUAACUCCGUGCCAGCAGCCGCGGUAAUACGGAGGAUCCAAGCGUUAUCCGGAAUCAUUGGGUUUAAAGGGUCCGUAGGCGGUUUUAUAAGUCAGUGGUGAAAUCCGGCAGCUCAACUGUCGAACUGCCAUUGAUACUGUAGAACUUGAAUUAUUGUGAAGUAACUAGAAUAUGUAGUGUAGCGGUGAAAUGCUUAGAUAUUACAUGGAAUACCCAUUGCGAAGGCAGGUUACUAACAAUUGAUUGACGCUGAUGGACGAAAGCGUGGGGAGCGAACAGG
rnacentral:rRNA from 1 species